AGUGGUGUGGCCGUCAAUCA
rnacentral:siRNA from 1 species